ensembl:lincRNA Gm13236 predicted gene 13236
CUAGACAAGGUAUCCCUCUGAGGAAUCACACCAUCCAACAGGCCUAGAAUUACACGAAUGGAAGCCAGGUUCCAGCAAGGACUCAUUCUCGGAGUCCAGACAGCCUGAUGUUACCUUCUCCGCUGAUGCUGUCCAUACUGCUGUUCAUCACCAAGGAAGUCAGGACUGGAACUCAAGCAGGUCAGGAAGCAGGAGCUGAUGCAGAGGCCAUGGAGGGGUGUUUCUUACUGAACUGUUUCCCCUGACUUGCUCAGCCUGCUCUCUUAUAGAACCAAGACUACCAGCCCAGAGAUGGUACCACCCACAAGAGGCCCUCCCACCUUGAUCACUAAUUGAGAAAAUGCCCCACAGCUGGAUCUCCUGAAGGCAUUUCCCCAACUGAAACUCCUUUCUCUGUGAUAACUCCAGCCUGUGUCAAGUUGACACAAAACUGGCCAGUACAGGGUAACCACAUGUGGAACUAUAUUAAAAGGUCACAGUAUUAGGAAGGUUGAGAUCCACUGCCCAAAGGAUUAAAAUUUUUAAAGAUAAAAUAGGAAACAUUCUUUAAUUAAAAUAUGAAACUGGGGGGGGGGGCUGCCUUGUCUAGCCUCAAUAGGAGAAGAUACACCUAGUCCUCCUGCAAUUUGAUCUGCCAAGGGAGUUGAUAUCCACAGCAGGCCUCCCCUUCACUGAGGAGAAAGGGAGAGGGUACUGGGGAGAAGAGAAGUGAGGCAGAGGGACUGGGAGAGAAGAGGGAGAGAAAGCUAUGAUUGGGAUGUAAAGUAAAUAUUAAUUAAUGAAAAAUGUAAGUAAACCAUAAAAAACUAAUAAAAUUGGUAAUUCAUUACGAUAAAGAACUCUUUUAAAACUC